rnacentral:rRNA from 1 species
UGGGGAAUAUUGCACAAUGGGCGCAAGCCUGAUGCAGCGACGCCGCGUGGGGGAUGACGGCCUUCGGGUUGUAAACUCCUUUCGCCAGGGACGAAGCGUUUUGUGACGGUACCUGGAGAAGAAGCACCGGCUAACUACGUGCCAGCAGCCGCGGUAAUACGUAGGGUGCGAGCGUUGUCCGGAAUUACUGGGCGUAAAGAGCUCGUAGGUGGUUUGUCACGUCGUCUGUGAAAUUCCACAGCUUAACUGUGGGCGUGCAGGCGAUACGGGCUGACUUGAGUACUGUAGGGGUAACUGGAAUUCCUGGUGUAGCGGUGAAAUGCGCAGAUAUCAGGAGGAACACCGAUGGCGAAGGCAGGUUACUGGGCAGUUACUGACGCUGAGGAGCGAAAGCAUGGGUAGCAAACAGGAUUAGAUACCCUGGUAGUCCAUGCCGUAAACGGUGGGCGCUAGGUGUAGGGACCUUUUGGGGUUUCUGUGCCGUAGCUAACGCAUUAAGCGCCCCGCCUGGGGAGUACGGCCGCAAGGCUA